UACGUAGGGGGCAAGCGUUGUUCGGAAUUACUGGGCGUAAAGGGCGUGUAGGCGGCGCGGUAUGUUGGACGUGAAAUCCCCGAGCUCAACUCGGGGCGGUCGUUCAAAACUGCCGUGCUAGAGUGUGGGAGAGGGAAGUGGAAUUCCCGGUGUAGCGGUGAAAUGCGUAGAUAUCGGGAAGAACACCUGUGGCGAAGGCGGCUUCCUGGCCCACAACUGACGCUGAGGCGCGAAAGCUAGGGGAGCAAACAGG
rnacentral:rRNA from 1 species